GGUCUUGAACGCACCGUAGUUAAUGUGUGGUGUGACGCAGCAGUUUGACUUAAGUGUGUAACUUCGCCGACGCUUCCACAUAAAUGUAUGUUUUUGCCACUCUUUUCCCCUUCAUGCCAUGCGUAAAUGCACAAAGCAGAGACGGGCUCACUCUUCCUGGAACGAACCGUCACGGUGGCCGUCUUGGAAAGGUAUCCUCUGCGUUUGAGCGUCACCUCCAGGAAUUUGGCGUCCUCGUCCACCAGAUAGUACUCCCUCUCCAGUGAGAUCCAGGCCCAGUUGAGGCGGAAUGGCUGAGGCUUGAGUUUGUUUCCACCUGAAGGAAGGACGCAAGAAAGCACAGCUUCAUUAGAUGCAAGCCAGGGAGAAUCCGAUGGCGAUGAUGAUGAUCACAACCAGAACAAUGAUGCCUUGGACAUUUAACGGUGGUCAGGGAGAGCGUUCCACAGGCUGGGAGCGGCGGAGCAGAAAGCUUUGUCCUCUGAGGUUGGAGGAGGUUAGCCUGUCCGGAGCGGAGGUGUCGAGUGGAGGAUUUGGGG